CUUGAAUUCCUAUAAGAGGUCCAGCCUGCCCAGUGACUUUGUUCAACGGCCGCGGUAUCCUAACCGUGCGAAGGUAGCGUAAUCACUUGUCUUUUAAAUGAGGACUUGUAUGAAUGGCAUCACGAGGGUUAUACUGUCUCCUUUUUCUAAUCAGUGAAACUAAUCUUCCCGUGAAGAAGCGGGAAUAAAUACAUAAGACGAGAAGACCCUAUGGAGCUUUAAACUUAAUAACAAAUACUAACCUUACUUCAACUUCCAGAACAUUAAUCUUAAUUUUAGUAUCCUGUUUAUUAGUUUUAGGUUGGGGUGACCGCGGAGUAAAAAUUAACCUCCAUAUUGAAUAGGACUUAUCCUUGAGCUAAGAACUACAGCCCUAAGCACCAAUAAAUUGACAUUAAUUGACCCAAUAUUUUGAUCAACGAAC
rnacentral:rRNA from 1 species